AUGUUGGAGUAUUCGGAAUUGAAUGGCGAUAGGAAGUGAAACGACGCUUUAUUUUGCUAAUAACGACAUUGCGCGUAUGGGAAACUUCAUGUCCAUUCCUGGAAUGUUUUUCAAAUCUCAGCCGUAGCCAAGAGUACAGAAAGAGCAUUUGUACAUUCUUGGGUACUUCAGCGGUAUUUAAAAGGUGGCAAUACUUUGGGGGAAAGAAGCCAUUUGAUUCGAAAAUUAAUUUUAUGAUCACCAAACUCGUUGGAUAAUUGGACCAUUGUCUGAUUCAAACAUCAUGUUCCAAGCUGUUUCCGAAGGAAACGAUAAAAUGGUUCGUCGUUCAGAAUCGUGUUGCACGUGGCUGUUGCAUAUUACACACUACAAGAGACCAGCCAAAGAAAAAACUAAUUUCAGUGGGAUUGGAUGCAGAACGUAAAGCCUUGGAUGCUCGUGAUCUUGACUUUAAAGUGAGCCAAUUUCUAAGAAACCAGUGUUUUCUUUUGCCUGUACUCAAUCGGAGCAAAGGGCUUGCAUUUUAUCCGCAUUCGGUUC